rnacentral:lncRNA from 1 species
UUUGCAGUGAUACUUUUGUGAUGAAAGAUUUUAAUUAUUGGUAAUGCUUACAAAGGGAUUGGCAUUUGCAGUGUUUCUUCAGAGAUUUAUUAUGAACCUAAUCCUUGUUGACAUUGUUUAAUUUACUGUGUCCUCAGAGUCUUUCAGCAGAAGAUUAAACGGGGCUAUAGACAUUCUUUGUACAAAACAUUCUUUCACCACACAAAGAUUGUUGAACUGUGCGUUGGGGAUUGGUGUCAUCUACGUUUCUAUCUGAUAGUGAUUGAUAAGUGUCAACCCUAAAAAAAUACCUUUUUUUAUUUCACAAAUAAUUCCACUAGUGGUUUCCCAUGGACUGAUUUUUACUGAGGUGGAACUUUUUCAACAUUUUCCAACAGGCUUCUGAGCAUCGGUUGGGUUACUGAGUCCUAAUAUAUGUGAACU